rnacentral:rRNA from 1 species
AUUGAACGCUGGCGGCAGGCCUAACACAUGCAAGUCGAGCGGAUGAAGGGAGCUUGCUCCUGGAUUCAGCGGCGGACGGGUGAGUAAUGCCUAUGAAUCUGCCUGGUAGUGGGGGAUAACGUCCGGAAACGGGCGCUAAUACCGCAUACGUCCUGAGGGAGAAAGUGGGGGAUCUUCGGACCUCACGCUAUCAGAUGAGCCUAGGUCGGAUUAGCUAGUUGGUGGGGUAAAGGCCUACCAAGGCGACGAUCCGUAACUGGUCUGAGAGGAUGAUCAGUCACACUGGAACUGAGACACGGGCCAGGCUUCUAAGGGAGGCAGCAGGGGGGAAAAUUGGGAAAUGGGCGAAAAGCCGAACCAAGCCAGCCGGGUGGGUUAAGAAGGCCUUUGGGUUUGUAAACACUUUAAGUUGGGAGGAAGGGGAGUAAGUUUAAUCCUUGGUGUUUUGGCGGUACCAAAAGAAUGAGCCACGGGUAACUUCGUG